AACGAACGCUGGCGGCAUGCCUAACACAUGCAAGUCGAACGAGACCUUCGGGUCUAGUGGCGCACGGGUGCGUAACGCGUGGGAACCUGCCCUUAGGUUCGGAAUAACUCCCCGAAAGGGGUGCUAAUACCGGAUAAUGUCUUCGGACCAAAGAUUUAUCGCCUUUGGAUGGGCCCGCGUUGGAUUAGCUAGUUGGUAGGGUAAAAGCCUACCAAGGCGACGAUCCAUAGCUGGUCUGAGAGGAUGAUCAGCCACACUGGGACUGAGACACGGCCCAGACUCCUACGGGAGGCAGCAGUGGGGAAUAUUGGACAAUGGGCGAAAGCCUGAUCCAGCAAUGCCGCGUGAGUGAUGAAGGUCUUAGGGUUGUAAAGCUCUUUUACCCGGGAUGAGAAUGACAGUACCGGGAGAAUAAGCUCCGGCUAACUCCGUG
rnacentral:rRNA from 1 species